CCGAUGCCGUAGCCCUUGGUGUCCAGCAGCCCGCCAAUCUGGGUGAGGUUGCAGUUGUGCCGCCGGUGGUACUCGUUCAUGGUGGACUCCAGCAGGAAGGCGUACUUGGAGUUGAGCACGCGCGCGAUGCCCUCCUCCGUGCUCUUCACGAAGACGCUGGGCUGCUUCGACUGCAUGUAGUUCCACAUCCGCUGGUAGGUCUGGUACCGCGAGUUCUGGGCGGGGGGGAGAGGGACACGGUGGGGGGGGGCUGUUGGCCUUCGUUGGGUUGGAUUGGGUUGGGUUUGUGGAUCUGGGCUACAUUGAGUUGAGUUGACCCAUGUUGGGUUGGGUUGGGUUGGGUUGGACCAACCCAAGUUGGAAUGAGUUGAGUUGAACAAGAUUCGGUUGGGUUGGGUUGGGUUACAUUUGUAGAGCUUGGCCGCGU
rnacentral:lncRNA from 1 species